UGGGGAAUAUUGGACAAUGGGGGCAACCCUGAUCCAGCAAUACCGCGUGUGUGAAGAAGGCCUUCGGGUUGUAAAGCACUUUAGGCGGGGAAGAAGGUUGGUAUUUUAAGAGAUAAUCAACUUGACGGUACCCGCAGAAUAAGCACCGGCUAACUCUGUGCCAGCAGCCGCGGUAAUACAGAGGGUGCAAGCGUUAAUCGGAUUUACUGGGCGUAAAGGGCGCGUAGGUGGUUAUGUAAGUGAGAUGUGAAAUCCCCGGGCUCAACCUGGGAACUGCAUCUUAUACUGCAUAGCUGGAGUGAAGUAGAGGGUAGUGGAAUUUCCGGUGUAGCGGUGAAAUGCGUAGAUAUCGGAAGGAACACCAGUGGCGAAGGCGGCUACCUGGACUUACACUGACACUGAGGCGCGAAAGCGUGGGUAGCAAACAGG
rnacentral:rRNA from 1 species